rnacentral:misc_RNA from 1 species
UUUCCGUAGGUGAACCUGCGGAAGGAUCAUUAUUGAAUAAACUUGGUUGGGUUGAUGCUGGCCUCUCGGUGCAUGUGCACGCCUACCGCCAUUUUUACCACCUGUGCACCCUUUGUAGACCUGGAUAUCUCUCGAGGAAACUCGGUUUGAGGACUGCUGUGCGUAAGCCAGCUUUCCUUGCAUUUCCGGUCUAUGUUUUCAUAUACCCCAUUAGAAUGUUAUAGAAUGUCAUUAAUGGGCUUCAUUGCCUUUAAAAUUAAUACAACUUUCAACAACGGAUCUCUUGGCUCUC